AACGCAACUUGCGCUCUCUGGUAUUCCGGAGAGCAUGCCUGUUUGAGUAUCAUGAAAUCUCAACCAUUAGGGUUUCUUAAUGGCUUGGAAUUGGGUGUUGCCAGUCCCCUGGCUCGCCUUAAAAGAGUUAGCGUGUUUAACUUGUCUAUCUGGCGUAAUAAGUUUCGCUGGUGUCGGCUUGAGAAGUACGCUUCUAAUCGUCUUCGGACAAUUCUUGAACUCUGGUCUCAAAUCAGGUAGGGCUACCCGCUGAACUUAA
rnacentral:misc_RNA from 1 species